rnacentral:pre_miRNA from 1 species
UUAACUCAUAUUUGUAUGGAAUGGGAUCGCUUGCGUACGUUUGCCGCUAGGGGCGCUGUUUCAAAUGCAUACAAAAUUGGCUUA